rnacentral:rRNA from 1 species
UACGAAGGGGGCUAGCGUUUUUCGGAAUCACUGGGCGUAAAGCGCACGUAGGCGGACCUUCAAGUCAGGGGUGAAAUCCCGGGGCUCAACCUCGGGACUGCCUUUGAUACUGUUAGUCUUGAGCCCGGAAGAGGUGGGUGGAAUUCCCAGUGUAGAGGUGAAAUUCGUAGAUAUUAGAAAGAACACCUGUGGCGAAGGCGGCGCCCUGGUCCGUGACUGACGCUGAGGCGCGAAAGCGUGGGGAGCAAACAGG